CAUAGAUAUAGUUAUAUAAUUAUAUAUAUUUAUAUAAAUUUUUGUUUUUUAUUUUAACAAUACAAUAUCACAAAUAUUCCAUUUAAAAUAUAUAAAUCGGUACACAAUUAAUAAUAUAAUAAUUACACAAUUUUUUUUUUUUUAAAUUUUUCAUUGUAAUAUUCAUUCGGCCGAUAUGAAUUUAUAAUAUUUUUAGAGAUAUUAUAGGUAUCCAAACAAAUUUUACAUAAUAUAUAAUUUUUUUUUUUUCAUCUGUACACAAAUACACAUAUAAUAAUAUUAUGUCAUAAUAAAGUAAUGUAGUAGUUCAAUAAUAUUAUCAAUAACUUAACACGCACAUGUAAUACAAAAAUAAAAAUAUAAGACGUCUUUGGCAUUUCAAUGUAUGUAAAUAAAUGGGUUUAAUUAUAAGUUAUGAGAAGAAUAAUUAGUAGUCUUACAAAACAGAAAUUAAUAAAAAAAAAAAAAAACAAAUUUAGGUUUUGGUUUAACCCGUAGAUCGUAAAGAGACGGAUGGACCCGCGGGCAUGCUAUUGUAUUCAAGUGUGUCCUCGAAGAGAAUAUAUACUAUACGUUAUCACAGUAACGGUUACAAGUGGUUAUCGUUUUAGCGUUCAGAAAUGCGCAUACUUCGAUUGUUUCGCAAUACCAUUAUAAUCAGUAUGAUUUUAUGGAGUUGAUUAGAUUCUUAACGAACACUCAAAUCGUAUAUUCCGUAAUCGCAUUUACCAGUUACAGCAUUUACCAGCUGAUACAAUAUUAGCCUAGGGUCGGGACACGGUCGCAUAUGACUGAGGCGGUUUCAGUAGGUAUCCAUUUUAUCCGCUGUUUCGGAAGUUCCGCGACAACGGAUCGCCGCAACAUUUUACAAUUUGAGGUUAUGAAUUUAAAAAAAAAAAAAACACACACACACAAUUAUAAUUACGUAAUUAUCCGAAUAAAUACGAAUGAUAACGGCAUUGUUAUAUUAUUAUGUCUGCAGACGUAAAAUGUGAAAAAUCGUUUGAACCUAAAAAAAAAAUAUAAAAAUAUCCCCGAAGUAAACUGUCGUUUGAACCGCAAUAAAGUUCGGGCGCUUUCUGAAAAAAAAAAAAUUGGUAUAAAACCGUUUCACUGAGAAACCGCAUAAUUAACACGGACGACGACCAUAUAGAUAGCUUACAGCGGUGUCCCGACCUCGUCGUCUUCUGGGACCCCGAAGAAUAAAAAAAAAAAAAACGAUCCGUCCGUCUCUUUAUAUCGUUAUCUACAUAUGAGUAAUACUGUCAGAACCUAUAACCUAUUGUACAUACAAAUAAAUAAAAAAAAAAAAAUUAAAAAAAAAAGAAAGAUAAUCAAUUAUUAUACACACGCUAUAAACAAAG